rnacentral:rRNA from 1 species
AGUGGCGCACGGGUGCGUAACGCGUAUGCAACCUACCUUCGACUGGGGGAUAGCCCGGAGAAAUCCGGAUUAAUACCGCAUAACACCAUAUGAGGGCAUCCGAGUAUGGUUAAAGAUUCAUCGGUCGGAGAUGGGCAUGCGUGCCAUUAGCUAGUCGGCGGGGUAACGGCCCACCGAGGCUACGAUGGCUAGGGGUUCUGAGAGGACGGUCCCCCACACUGGCACUGAGAUACGGGCCAGACUCCUACGGGAGGCAGCAGUAGGGAAUAUUGGGCAAUGGGCGGAAGCCUGACCCAGCCAUGCCGCGUGCAGGACGAAGGCCUUCUGGGUUGUAAACUGCUUUUACAGGGGAAGAAAACACCCAUGCGUGGGGAACUGACGGUACCCUGGGAAUAAGCACCGGCUAACUCCGUGCCAGCAGCCGCGGUAAUACGGAGGGUGCAAGCGUUGUCCGGAUUUAUUGGGUUUAAAGGGUGCGUAGGCGGCCCGUUAAGUCAGCGGUGAAAGCCCGGGGCUCAACCCCGGAACCGCCGUUGAUACUGGCGGGCUUGAGUAUGGACGAGGUUGGCGGAAUUGAGGGUGUAGCGGUGAAAUGCUUAGAUACCCUCAAGAACACCGAUUGCGUAGGCAGCUAACUAGGCCAUAACUGACGCUGAGGCACGAAAGCGUGGGGAGCGAACAGGAUUAGAUACCCUGGUAGUCCACGCCGUAAACGAUGAUUACUCGAUGUCGGCGACAGACCGUCGGCGUCUUAGCG